rnacentral:piRNA from 1 species
UAACUUUUUUUGAUUCACUAA